rnacentral:rRNA from 1 species
GUCUUUUUGAAUUAUUUAAAGUCUACCUGCCCACUGAAUAAUUUUUUAAAUGGCCGCAGUAUCCUAACUGUGCAAAGGUAGCAUAAUCAUUAGUCUUUUAAUUGAAGGCUGGUAUGAAUGGUUGGACGAGAUAUUAACUGUUUCAUAAAAAUUUAUAAUAGAAUUUUAUUUUUUAGUCAAAAAGCUAAAAUGUAUUUAAAAGACGAGAAGACCCUAUAAAUCUUUAUAUUCAGGUAAUUAUAAUUUUUCGGAUUUUUUUUGUUAUGAUUAUUGAUAAUAUUUUAUUGGGGUGAUAUUAAAAUUUAAAAAACUUUUAAUUAAUUAAAUCAUUAAUUAAUGAAUAUUUGAUCCGUUAUUAACGAUUAAAAAUUUAAGUUACUUUAGGGAUAACAGCGUAAUUUUUUUGGAGAGUUCAUAUCGAUAAAAAAGAUUGCGACCUCGAUGUUGGAUUAAGAGAUAUAUUUAGGUGUAGCCGCUUAAAUGUUAAGUCUGUUCGACUUUUAAAUUCUUACGUG